rnacentral:rRNA from 1 species
GAAUUGCGAUAAGUAAUGUGAAUUGCAGAAUUCAGUGAAUCAUCGAAUCUUUGAACGCACCUUGCGCUCCUUGGUAUUCCGAGGAGCAUGCCUGUUUGAGUGUCAUGAAAUUAUCAAGGUCCUCUCCUUUUCCUGGUCUGGAUUUUUGGAUUUAUGGGGGAAUUGCUGAUUUGAAAACCAAUUAGCUCCUCUGAAAUACAUUAGCAACAAGGCUUCUUCUGCCAAUUUGUGGUGUGAUACAUUUUUAUUUACACUAUUUUAAAAAGGCAGUUAAUCAGUUCUUGUGGCUUCUAAUUGUCUGUUUGGACAGUGUUUUAACAUUUUGACCUCAAAUCAGGUAGGACUACCCGCUGAACUUAA